rnacentral:misc_RNA from 1 species
AACAUCGCGCACCUGCGGGAACCUGCGGAAGGAUCAUUACCGAGUUUACAACUCCCAAACCCCUGUGAACAUACCUAUACGUUGCCUCGGCGGAUCAGCCCGCGCCCCGUAAAAAGGGACGGCCCGCCCGAGGACCCCUAAACUCUGUUUUUAGUGGAACUUCUGAGUAAAACAAACAAAUAAAUCAAAACUUUCAGCAAUGGAUCU